ensembl:miRNA
GCAGCGGCGCGCUCGGCUUUCCGGCAAUACCCGGAUGGACGGGUAAUGGCCGCCAUCUGGGACUCGCAGGCAAUGGGGACCACGACA